rnacentral:rRNA from 1 species
UACGAAGGGGGCUAGCGUUGCUCGGAAUUACUGGGCGUAAAGCGUGCGCAGGCGGUGAUGUAAGACAGAUGUGAAAUCCCCGGGCUCAACCUGGGAACUGCAUUUGUGACUGCAUCGCUAGAGUACGGUAGAGGGGGAUGGAAUUCCGCGUGUAGCAGUGAAAUGCGUAGAUAUGCGGAGGAACACCGAUGGCGAAGGCAAUCCCCUGGACCUGUACUGACGCUCAUGCACGAAAGCGUGGGGAGCAAACGGG